rnacentral:rRNA from 1 species
UACGUAGGGUGCGAGCGUUGUCCGGAAUUAUUGGGCGUAAAGGGCUCGUAGGCGGUUUGUCGCGUCGGGAGUGAAAACGCCGUGCUUAACACGGCGCUUGCUUUCGAUACGGGCAGACUAGAGGUAUGCAGGGGAGAACGGAAUUCCUGGUGUAGCGGUGAAAUGCGCAGAUAUCAGGAGGAACACCGGUGGCGAAGGCGGUUCUCUGGGCAUGUCCUGACGCUGAGGAGCGAAAGUGUGGGGAGCGAACAGG